GAUGAACGCUGGCGGCGUGCCUAAUACAUGCAAGUCGAGCGAACAGACGAGGAGCUUGCUCCUUUGACGUUAGCGGCGGACGGGUGAGUAACACGUGGAUAACCUACCUAUAAGACUGGGAUAACUUCGGGAAACCGGAGCUAAUACCGGAUAACAUGCUGAACCGCAUGGUUCAACAGUGAAAUACGGUCUUGCUGUCACUUAUAGAUGGAUCCGCGCCGCAUUAGCUAGUUGGUAAGGUAACGGCUUACCAAGGCAACGAUGCGUAGCCGACCUGAGAGGGUGAUCGGCCACACUGGAACUGAGACACGGUCAAGACUCCUACGGGAGGCAGCAGUAGGGAAUCUUCCGCAAUGGGCGAAAGCCUGACGGAGCAACGCCGCGUGAGAGAAGAAGGUCUUCGGAUCGUAAAACUCUGUUAUCAGGGAAGAACAAAUGUGUAAGUAACUAUGCACGUCUUGACGGUACCUAAUCAGAAAGCCACGGCUAACUACGUG
rnacentral:rRNA from 1 species